AAUAGAUACCCAGGUAGUCCACGCCGUAAACGAUGAGUGCUAGGUGUUGGAGGAGACAUCCUUCGGUGCCGCAGCAAACGCAUUAAGCACUCCGCCUGGGGAGUACGGUCGCAAGACUGAAACUCAAAGGAAUUGACGGGGACCCGCACAAGCAGCGGAGCAUGUGGUUUAAUUCGAAGCAACGCGAAGAACCUUACCAGGACUUGACAUCCCUCUGACCGGGUAGUAAUGUACCCUUUCCUUCGGGACAGAGGAGACAGGUGGUGCAUGGUUGUCGUCAGCUCGUGUCGUGAGAUGUUGGGUUAAGUCCCGCAACAAGCGCAACCCUUGUCUUUAGUUGCCAGCACGAUAGGGUGGGCACUCUAGAGAGACUGCCGGGGAUAACUCGGAGGAAGGUGGGGAUGACGUCAAAUCAUCAUGCCCCUUAUGUUCUGGGCUACACACGUGCUACAAUGGCCGGUACAACGGGAGGCGAAGGAGUAAUCCGGAGCGAAUCCUAAAAGCCGGUCUCAGUUCGGAUUGUGGG
rnacentral:rRNA from 1 species